rnacentral:tRNA from 1 species
GCCUUCGUGGUGUAGUGGUCAGCAAACUCGACGCGUAACCGAGAGGUCCGUGGUUCGAUUCCCGGUGAUUGCG